UCUUGGUUAGGAAAGGCAUGGCAAAGGUUGUGAUGCUGGGAGCAUGUGGCUGGAUCUCCUCAAGUCUUGGCAGUAGAGCAAGGAGCAGAGAAUGUAGACCAAGGACAGAAGGAGGUGUUAAUCCUCCACGCUCUGCCCACCAGUGAGCUGCUACUCCUGCCAGCACGAGCCGUGCCCCAAAGAUUCUCCAGCCUCCCCGAACAGCGCUGCCAUCCGAUGACCCAGUGUUGGACGCGCGAGCCUGUGCAGUGCAUCUCAGACAUCCGAGUCUGAGGAUCACAAGUCUCUCAGCGACGUUGAUCAAGUUAGUAGUCGGAGCCUAGAAUGCUGUGUUGAGAAGGGUUCCGAGAGUGCCUCGUCCGAGGGGGAUGCGAUGGAUUAGAGACACCUGAUGUCUGUCACAGCCCCUCGGCUGUGUGGAAGAGUGGCAAAGGAACCGUUCCUAUAUAGAGAUGCAGCUGACACGAUGCCCAGAAAUUUCCAGGAGGUCUCAAGCAGGCUCUUAGUCUCUGCCUACAUCCCCCUUGAAACCUUUGCAUUCUGAGGGCUGAUCUGCGGCUCAGGAAACAGCUGCUCUGGAGAGAUCAUAUUGAGAAGACCUGAGGCUGGGGGGAAGGGUAAAGAGGAUUCCAGUCCUGCUGUUGUCCCACUGAGGGGCUGGCUAUGUGAGAACCUGUCUUGGGACUCUGGCCCAGCUUCUUCUCCAGUGUGAAUGCCACCAAGUCAUUGACACAAGAUGGUGUAAAAACAGUAUGACUCCUCGCACAGUCAUCGAGGGGAAAGCCUGAUGUUGGGAAUGAGUAAGUUUUGGGGGUGUUUGUCCCGUAGCAAUGUUAUGCUUUGUAACCAGAACACUGACCUGGGUUUCGUAGCGUUAAAUAAGAUCCACUUUUGAUCCA